CGAACGCUGGCGGCGCGUUUAAGCAUGCAAGUCGAGCGGCAAGGGCCUUCGGGCCCCUAGAGCGGCGGACGGGUGAGUAACACGUGGACAAUCUGCCCCCCGGCCCGGGAUAGCCCAGGGAAACCUGGAUUAAUACCGGAUGAGACGGGACCCGCGAUGGCGGGACCCGGGAAAGGCGCUGCGGCGCCGCCGGGGGAUGAGUCUGCGUCCCAUUAGCUAGACGGCGGGGUAACGGCCCACCGUGGCGACGAUGGGUAGCCGGCCUGAGAGGGUGGACGGCCACAUUGGAACUGAGACACGGUCCAGACUCCUACGGGAGGCAGCAGCUAAGAAUCUUCCGCAAUGGGCGAAAGUCUGACGGAGCCGACGCCGCGUGAACGAAGAAGGCCGUGAGGUUGUAAAGUUCUUUUCGGGAGGGGGAACAACCGUGGCAGGGAAUGGCCGCGGGAUGACGUGAAUCCCGGAAUAAGCCCCGGCUAACUACGUGCCAGCCGCGGC
rnacentral:rRNA from 1 species